rnacentral:lncRNA from 1 species
GGACAACCCAGGACCGGUCCUGAAAUCCAGGGAAGCAACGGGGGUGGGGUGGAGUGAGGGGGGCACUUUCACAGGAGAGACAAUAAACGGAGAAAUGAUUCCGUCUGUCGCCAAAUCUGCCAAAGGUUUCUCCACGUUCCCCUCCCAUCAACUCAUCCUCUUUCUUCCUUGUAACAGCUUUACUGGGAUAUAAUUCACAUACCAUCCAAUUCACGCUUUUAAAUGAUAUCAUUUGUUGUUUUUAGUAUAUUUACAGAGCUGUGCAGUCAUCACCAUAUCUAAUUUUGGAAUAUUUUCACCAUCCCUAAGAAGAGGCGCUGUUCCCCAGAAAUGCUCCCCAUCUGCCCGCAGCAGCCCAGGCCUGGCUCCCACGAGUCUGUGUCCUGUCUCUGUGAGUCUGUCUGUUGGGGACGUUUUAUGUGCAUGAAAUCAUACCACACGCGGCCUCUCGUGCCUGGCAUCCUGCUUCCAAGGCUUCCCGUGCUGCCGCUUGUCAGUGUCAUUCCACUUUAUGGCUGAAUGACAUUCCGGCGUGUGGCCACGUUAUAUGACAUUCCGGCGUGCCGGCGUGUGGCCGUGCGUCAUUCCACGUUAUAUGACAUUCCAGUGUGCCGGCAUGUGGCCGCACGUCAUUCCACGUUAUAUGACAUUCCGGCGUGCCGGCAUGUGGCCGCACAUCAUUCCACGUUAUAUGACAUUCCGGUGUGCCGGCGUGUGGCCGCGUUAUAUGACAUUCCAUGUUAUGUGACAUUCUGGUGUGCUGGCGUGUGGCUGCGUUAUAUGACAUUCCACGUUAUGUGACAUUCCGGUGUGCUGGCGUGCGGCCGCGUUAUAUGACAUUCUGGUGUGCUGGCGUGUGGCCGCGUUAUAUGACAUUCCAUGUUAUGUGACAUUCCGGUGUGCUGGCGUGUGGCUGCGUUAUAUGACAUUCCACGUUAUGUGACAUUCUGGUGUGCUGGCGUGUGGCCGCGUUAUAUGACAUUCCAUGUUAUGUGACAUUCCGGUGUGCCGGCGUGUGGCCGCGCAUCACAGGAUGGACACCUGGGCUGUUCCCAUGUAAUGUGGCUAUCACGACUGAUACGGUUAUUACGACUGAUACGGUUUGGAUCUGUGUCCCUGCCCACAUCUCCUGCUGAAGCCUAGCCCCCAAUACUGGAGGUGGGACCUGGCAGGAGGUGGCUGGAUCAUGUGGGUGGAUUUGGCAUGAACGGCUGAACACCGUCUGUUGGUGCUGUCCUCACUGUAAUGAGUGGGUUCUGGUGAGGUCUGGUCGGUUAGAAGUGUGUGGCCCCUCUCCCCACCCCUUGCUCCUGCUCUUGCCAAGUGAUGUGCCCGCUCCCCCUUCGCCUACCACAGUUGAAUGUUUCCUCGAGGACUCCCCAGAAGCAGAGGCCAACACCACGCUUCCUCUACAGCCUGCAGAACCAGAAGCCAAUCAGACCUCUUUUCUUAUGAAUCACGCAGUCUGAGGUAUUUCUCUACAGCAGUGCAGGAAUGGCCUGAAACAGGGACUCAGGUUGCUGUGAAUGCCUGAGUGAGUUUACGUGUAGAUGUGUGCUUUCAUCUCUGGCCGCAGAGCUGUGGGGCCAUGUGGUGGCUGUGUCCAACCUUUUGAGGAACUGCUGGACUAUGUUCAUAGCAGCUCAUCUCAUCUCUUACCUUAAAGAUGCUCUAUGUCAAAUGCCAGCAUUUGAUCAACACGUAAUCAGCAUGUUAGUUUUCCUCUUCACGAGCAUCACAGUGCUAGCCUUGCCUACUACCUCCUCCUGAAAAUGGACUUAUCUGAGUGACUUUCAAGAUGUCUGUAGGUUAUGCAGACCUCUGUGGGCUGGCCGGGGCCCAGAACCAGCUCUGACAGUGUCCCUUCGACUUCCUGCUGGAGUUCUGCACCUGUACAACUGCACCCGGGCCCCCCGGCCCUGUACGCUGCUUACCCUGUACGCUGCUCAUGCACUCAGGCAGGCUGCAAGUGCCGGAUGGCCUGGGAGAUGGGCACUGUGGGUUGCUAGUUUAUUUAAAGGUAUGUUUACUAAAUGGCCUUAGGAAACCCAAGAAAAAAGUGUUGCCCAAGUAGACUAUUCCAUUCGCUGGCACUGAUGCACCACAGGCAGGACGUGGUCCAGUGGAACUCACAUGGGCUGGUGGGAGAGGGCACUGGUCCAACGGAACUCACACGGGCUGGUGGGAGAGGGCACUGGCCCUGCGCGUCCCACUCCCUGCAGGUGAACUGUUCCUGAGCCCAAGCUCCCAGCAGCAUCCCUUCUGCCCCUGCCCCUGCCCAGCUCUGUGCUGUGGGCCAGAGCAUGUGCCUCCUCGGUUCCCUCUUUCUGCCUCCUGGCCUCCCUUAAGGUCAGAAAGGGGCCAGUGCUGAAGCCUGAGGCUGAAGCGCACAGCACACAGCCGCCCUGGGGCCUGGGAGCGCU